UAAUGGGAAUUGGGUGAUUUCGGGGUCCAGGGACCCAGAUCGCCCACCCACUGAAUUUGUUAAAUCUCAAAAGUUCCCAUUGACCAUCCGAAUCACCGUUUUUUAAAACACUGCUUUUAUCUGAUUCUUGUCAACAUGGGUUAUUUAUUUGGUAAUUUUGAAAAGACUAUAGUACUUCCCUUUUGUAUGAGAAGUUUAUAGGGAUUUAUAUGCAUCCCUUUUGUAAUUGACACAACUUCUAGGCCAAGGCUUUGUAGCCAAGCUGUUAGUUAGGGGUUUGUGCAGGGUCUGUGGUUUCUAACAUGUUCCAUUUGAUCAGUAUCAGGUAGAAGAACAUGUGGCUGGAAGAGAUGAUGGAAGAGGAGAUUAUGGUUUUGGUAGAUCAAAGGGUUCAGGAACACCAGCAAAUGGACAGGGAAAGCCUAAGAAGGGCAGAUCAGCUCCAAGGGACGGCAAGAGGAUCAGGCCUUCAAAUGAGCAGGAUAUAGAUGAUGAAGAUGAUCCUGACCUCAGUUUGAGAUAGCCAUUGGUGGAAAUCUAGAGCAUUGUACUUAUCUGAAAUAACCAAAAAAAAAAAGGAAUUUAAAAAAAAAAAGAAAAAAA